GGUGGUGGAGAUGAGAUUUGAGGCGGUGAUGGAGAUGAACUUUGAGGUGGAGGUGUCGAUGAUGGUGGUGGAGAAUUUUGAGGUGGUGUUGUUGAUGGUGAUGGUGGAGAGGAACUUGUAGGUGGAUUCAACAGUGAUGGUGGUGGUGGUGGAGGUGAGCUCACAGGCGGAGUUGCUGAUAGUGGUGGAGGAGAAUUGGAGUUUGAUGGAGGAUCACUACUGGAUAAAGGCGGAGAACGUGAUGUCAUAGGAGGUGGUGGUUGUGGUGGAGGGGUUGAUGGUGUGGCAGGAGGAGGAUUAGAAACAGUAGGAGGAGGGGUUUGGGGUGGUGGUGAUGGAGCAGGAGGGGUUCUUGGGUCUGGUGGAUUGGCAUUGGGCUGUGAAGGUGGGGAAGUGGGAGGAGGAGAGGAGGCUUGUGGUGGUGAACUAGUAGAGGAUGGUGGUGGUGUACCGUUUAAAGGUGGUGGAGUAGCAGAGGGGGGUGAAUUUGGGGAUGGAGAUACAGUUGCCAUCACUACAGUUCCAAAUCAAGCGACUUCAAAUCACAUCACAGAAUUUAAACUUUCAUUGGCUUUUCACCAAGUUCUCCCAAUUCCAGUACGAAAGGCAAGGUUUAGAUCAAAACACACCCAUCAAUUUCAAGAAAUAACUCCAAAAUGAACAAACUUUAAAACCAAGAGAGAUUCAAAUCACCAAAA